rnacentral:RNase_P_RNA from 1 species
CUGGCCCAAAGCCCCUGUGAGGAGCAGCUGCUCCUAGGAAGGUCUGAGACGGGAGGAUGCGAAAGCAGGCGCAAUGCCAUGUGGCCAGUGCCACUGUCUGCCUCAAUAGAAAACAACGCAAUGCGGCUGGAAGAGGCGGACAUCCCAUUCACAGCAGUGGAAUGCAGGGGGUCGUAAGACAACUGAAUUCAGACUACUCUUGGGCCAG